ACGGCGUACCUUUUGCAUAAUGGGUCAGCAAGUUAAUAGAAGUAGCAAGGUUAAAAGCCUAAGCGAAAGCGACUAUACUUUAAAAAGUACUGGAUAAGUUACUUCUAUUAGACCCGAAGCCAGGUGAUCUUACCAAGAUCAGAUUAUAAUAGAUCGAACGGGUGAAUGUUGCAUAAUUCUCCGAUGAAUUUUGGUAAGAGGUGAAAUGCCAAUCUAACCUGGUGCUAGCUGGUUUUCUACCGAAACAUAUUUAAGUAUGAUGUCUAUUUGAUAAGAUUUAUGGAGGUACAGCAAGACAAUUCCCAACAACUGUUAUUUAUUUUAAAAUAAUAGGCGUUUAGGUUGCGGGGAUCUAGCAAAUCUUACCUUUGGAAACGAAUCUCGGAAUUACAUAAAUUGAUAGUAGAUAUUCAGACUAUUCAUGCUAAGUUGAAUAGUCAAGACGGAAACAGCCGAGAACACUAAUCAAGGUCCCUAAUGAUUGUUAAGUGAAAUUAAGGACGUAGCAAUAUCAAAUACAGCUGUGAAGUGAGCCUGGCAGUCGCUACUUAUAAUGAACGUAUGUAACAACGCAACAGCAGUAUAAAGAUAGUAGCGCCGAAAAUUUAACGGGUCUAAAACAAUCAACCGAUAUUGUGUUGAUUAAAACUUACUAUUUUUACCUUUGCCCGCAGCCUAGCUUUGGGCAAGGCAAGGGGUAAGUUUUAAUUUAGGUAGUAGAACAUUCAGUUUAACUGUUGAAAAAAUAGUGUUUCAUUAUUUAUUAGGUAACUGAAGAGAGAAUGCUGACAUGAGUAACGUAAAAAAUUCCUAAAAUGGAAUUCGCCGAAUACGAAAGGGUUGCAUAAGAAAGGUUAAUCCUCUUAGUGUGAAUGCGGUCUCUAAGGGAAAAUAGCAAUAGCUAUAACUGAUGAGUAUAUUAUAGAAAAUUAUUUAAUUAAUUUUAAAUAAUCAGGAAAUUAAUAUAAUUUCUACCGUACCCUAAACCGACACAGGUUCGUAAGUAGAGUAUACUAAGGCGUAGAGCUAAAAGUUGUUAAGGAACUCGGCAAAUUCACCUCAUAAGUUUAACGAUAAGAGGUACCUUAUUUUUUUUAAAGAAUAAGGUGGCACAGAAUCGGAGGCCACGACUGUUUACUAAAAACACAACACAGUGCAAUCAUUAAUGUGAUAGUAUACUGUGUGAAAUUUGCCCAAUGCCAUUAAUAUAAGAACAAUCAUGGGAUAUUAAACUGUGAUUUAUCGAAAAUCUGGUUAAUAGCGGUCUUAACUAUGAGGAUCCUAAGGUAGCAAAAUCAAUUGGCCAUUAAAUGUGGUCGAGUAUCAAUAAUGUAACGAUGGUCUCACUGUCUCUACAACUUGCUCAGUGAAAUUGAAUUACGCGUGCAGAUGCGCGUUACCACCAGGGGGACGGGAAGACCCUAUGCAGCUUUACUGUAAUUAGUUAUCAUAUGAAUCUAGAACAACUUAAAUUAAUAGUGAAUAGGGAUAUCGAAAGAUAAAUAGUGGAAACCUUAGAAUCUAAGUUGGGUUUAUGUUCACCUAAAAUAAUAGGGAGAGUUGACUAAUUGGCAGUUUGACUGGGGCGGUCGUCUUUAAAAAAGUAGCAAAGUACAUCCAAAUUUUUAUAAAAAACUAAUUUCAUAACAGGAGAAAAUUUUUAUUUUAUUCGCAGAAGGUAUAGCUAGAAAUUGAAUGGAAAUCAAUCAAUCAGUGAAGGAUUGCGCAGUGUUCAAUGGCGAUAAGCAUGCUUAACUGAAAGACUCAAAAGUCAAACAGAUACGUAAGUAGGGCAUAGUGACCCCUCGCUUUAGUAUGGGAUAGACGGGGAUCAAUUAAUAAAAGUUACGCUAGGGAUAACAGGCUGAUAGCCGACGAGAGUACACAUUGUCUCGGCUGUUUGGCACCUUAAAUAUAUUUAAAUUUAUAAUAUCGGGGAUUUAAGAUAGUAAUAUCUUAUUAGAAAUUGGCUAUAUGCUGGAACCUCCUUAGAGCUUUAAGUACUUAAAUUUAAAAAGAAAGUUAAAAUCUUAAAGAUUGGACAAUCAGCAGGGAAGUUAUAUAAAAUAGGUUAUAGCGACUGUUUUAAAUUUAUAUAAUCCCUCAACGACUACACGCCAACAUCCAGUGCUUCAUAAAUUGUAUUCUUUAUGCUGGAUGAAGAUAUAGUCUAAACUUAAUUGAAAGAUUAAGAGUUAUGCGAUGUCGACUCAUCCUAUCCUCCGGGGGAAGAAGCUUGGAAGGGUUCGGCUGUUCGCCGAUUAAAAGGGUACGUGAGUUGGGUUUAAUACGACGUGAGUCAGUAUGGUCCCUAUCUUCUGGUGGAAAAUUUAGUAAAUGGGGACAGACCUUCUAGUACGAAAGGACCAAUAGGCUGUGUUUCUAUAGUGUACCAAUUGUUUCUAAUAUUUAAUUAAAAAUAUGAAUGCAUAGUUGGGUAGCCACAAACAUAAUAGAUAAGUGCUGAAUGUCUAUAAAGCAAGAAUCUACUCCCUUGAUACUA
rnacentral:rRNA from 1 species